UAGAUACCCCACUAUGCUCAGCCCUAAACUUUGAUAGUUUUACCACACCCACUAUCCGCCCGGGUACUACGAGCUUUAGCUUAAAACCCAAAGGACUUGGCGGUGCUUAAGAUCCGUCUAGAGGAGCCUGUUCUAGAACCGAUACCCCACGUUUGACCUCACCCUCUCUUGUUUAAACCGCCUAUAUACCGCCGCCGUCAGCCCACCCUGCAAAGGUCUAGUAGUAGGCUAAAUUGGUAUGACCCAAAAUGCCAGGUCGAGGUGUAGCGCAUGAGAGGGAAAGCAAUGGGCUACAUUUCCUUACCAGGAAACACGGAUGAUAAAUUGAAACAAGCAAUCUGAAGGUGGAUUUAGCAGUAAAUGAAAAUCAGAAUAUUUCAUUGAAACCUCGGCUCUAAAGCGCGCACACACCGCCCG
rnacentral:rRNA from 1 species